GUAGGGAAUAUUGGGCAAUGGAGGCAACUCUGACCCAGCCAUGCCGCGUGCAGGAUGACGGCCCUCUGGGUUGUAAACUGCUUUUAUACGGGAAGAAAAAAUACUACGUGUAGUAUACUGACGGUACCGUAAGAAUAAGGAUCGGCUAACUCCGUGCCAGCAGCCGCGGUAAUACGGAGGAUCCAAGCGUUGUCCGGAUUUAUUGGGUUUAAAGGGUGCGUAGGCGGAUCUUUAAGUCAGUGGUGAAAGCCUGCAGCUUAACUGUAGAAUUGCCAUUGAAACUGAAGAUCUUGAAUGUGGUUAAAGUAGGCGGAAUGUAUCAUGUAGCGGUGAAAUGUUUAGAUAUGAUACAGAACACCGAUAGCGAAGGCAGCUUGCUGAACCAUUAUUGACGCUGAGGCACGAAAGCGUGGGGAGCGAACAGGAUUAGAAACCCCGGUAGUCC
rnacentral:rRNA from 1 species